rnacentral:rRNA from 1 species
UGGGGAAUAUUGCACAAUGGAGGGAACUCUGAUGCAGCGACGCCGCGUGAGUGAUGAAGGAAUUCGUUUCGUAAAACUCUGUUCUAUGGGAAGAAAAGGACUGUACCAUAGGAGAAAGCUCCGGCUAAAUACGUGCCAGCAGCCGCGGUAAUACGUAUGGAGCGAGCGUUGUCCGGAAUUAUUGGGCGUAAAGGGUGCGCAGGCGGCUUUACAAGUUGGAUGUGAAAUAUUGUGGCUCAACCACAAACGCGCAUCCAAAACUGCAAAGCUUGAGUUAAGGAGAGGUAAGUGGAAUUCCUGGUGUAGCGGUGGAAUGCGUAGAUAUCAGGAGGAAUACCGGUGGCGAAGGCGACUUACUGGACUUAAACUGACGCUCAGGCACGAAAGCGUGGGGAGCAAACAGG